GUUCAAAUCUCUCGGUCUGUUAGGAUGCCUCAGCUGCAUACAUCGCUGCACUUCCACUUGACACCUAUCGUAAUGAUAAACGGCUCGUCUCGCCGUGACCUUA
rnacentral:rRNA from 1 species